rnacentral:rRNA from 1 species
CCUACGGGGGGCAGCAGUGGGGAAUAUUGGGCAAUGGGCGCAAGCCUGACCCAGCAACGCCGCGUGAAGGAAGAAGGCUUUCGGGUUGUAAACUUCUUUUAAGAGGGAAGAGCAGAAGACGGUACCUCUUGAAUAAGCCACGGCUAACUACGUGCCAGCAGCCGCGGUAAUACGUAGGUGGCAAGCGUUGUCCGGAUUUACUGGGUGUAAAGGGCGUGCAGCCGGGAAGACAAGUCAGAUGUGAAAUCCCGGGGCUCAACCGCGGAACUGCAUUUGAAACUGUUUUUCUUGAGUACCGGAGAGGUCAUCGGAAUUCCUUGUGUAGCGGUGAAAUGCGUAGAUAUAAGGAAGAACACCAGUGGUGAAGGCGGAUUACUGGACGACAACUGACGGUGAGGCGCGAAAGCGUGGGGAGCAAACAGGAUUAGAUACCCGAGUAGUC